rnacentral:lncRNA from 1 species
AGCUACUGUCGCUCCGGAUCAGACAAUUGCGACCCGAUUCAGAUCACCUGUUCAGGAUUCUUUGCCAUCGGGAUGAAAAUUAGCUGUUUAGCCGGUUCACCCCGUUCCUCCUCUUUUCGUUGGUCCAACUUGUCGACCGGCAGAGAAUCCUUCGAUUUAUUAUUUUGAGUUGAGAUUUGGAAGCAUCGCCGAGCGAGCCGUUGAUUCCCGCGCAUUUCUCCAGCUUCAUUUUUAGUCGGAAAUCGGACCAGCAAGAGAUAUGUCGAGACUAUCACUCUGAGAGCGUUUAGUCCGGAUCUUCCAAGUAUGACGUUGUAGGCCGAAGGUACUCAAACGAUCGUGAAGGUCAAGUAGAUGGUGCUUUGUCGUGGUUCGGCCCCAGCUGUCACAGGAAAAGCAAUUUCUCCUUCCACUGCGACGGCAUCCCCGAUGAAACCUACUAGGGGCGUAGAGACUCUCCUGAGUCGGUCGGUCGACAGUCGCAUUCGGGAGAAGAUCGAGUAA